CAAGAUGUGCAUAUGUUGAGUGA
rnacentral:miRNA from 1 species